ensembl:snoRNA
GGGCAGCCGCGUGAUGACUUUCUUUCCCCGGCAGAUCGACCGUGGCGAUGACCUUGUGUGAACAAGCCAAAGCGUGUCUGACGGCUGCCU